CGCGAGCGGACUGGGUCCUUUCGCAGAGCUACUCGAGGCCCAAGCGAGCGGGUCUGUGCAGCACGGUGGGCGGGCACCGAAGAGGUCAUUCGGUAGAGUUUGGGAGUCUUUCCUGCACUCGUUUUGCUGCUGGGGACACAACCCAGGACUUCUUGCAUAUAAGGCUACACAUUUUGAGAUGAGGAAGGUGGAUCUCUGCUCGAGCACUGAAGGGACAGAAGUGAUUCUGGCCACGUCGAGUGAUGAAAAGCACCCGCCUGAAAACAUCAUUGACGGGAAUCCAGAAACCUUUUGGACCACCACAGGCAUGUUUCCCCAGGAGUUCAUUAUUUGUUUCCACAAACACGUAAAGAUUGAAAAGCUUGUGAUUCAAAGUUACUUGGGUAAGCAUUUAGUACACACAGAGGGGCAGCUUCAAAAUGAAGAAAUUAUGGCACGAGAUGGCUACGCCACUUUCUUGAGAUUCAUUAUUGUCUCAGCGUUUGAUCAUUUUGCAUCUGUGCACAGCAUUUCUGCAGAGGGACUGACAGUCUCAAGUCUUCCUUAGUGAUUACAACAGCAUGCUCUGAACUACUUUUAGAAUAUAUUUAUUGAAACACAAAGCUAUCUUUGAUAUGUUUACUAUUAAAUAGAUUUGUAUCACUCUG
rnacentral:lncRNA from 1 species